rnacentral:tRNA from 1 species
ACUGUGAUGGCCGAGUGGUUAAGGUGUUGGACUAGAAAUCCCAUAGGGUUUACCUGUGCAGGUUCAAAUCCUGCUCACAGCU